AUGAUGGCAAUGUCGGCGCGUCCAUGCAGCUCCUUUCAUCCUAAAUACAAGGUCUCUUUCAUCCUUUAGAUGGAGCGGGGUUGACCGCUUGGAAGUCGUCUAGUGAUACUGUCACAGCGCCAGCUUGCACGAGCUAUACCAAUUGAAUUGGCCAUAAUUAGUAAAAUCGCAAUGCAGGGACUUCGGCGGGGUCAUGUGAAGUGUAAAGCGGGGAUUGACAAAGGAUAAUUUUUAACAUACCGCUCUUCUCAAAUCAUCAAUUAGAUCAUCCACGUCCUCAAUGCCCACGCACAGCCGAAUCAAAUCUUCAGGCAUAUCUCUAUCCCUCCGGGUUUUCGCGUCGAUGCUAGCAUGACUCAUCCGACAGGGCAGACUAAUCAAGCUGUUAACGCAGCCAAAGCUGACGCUGAUAGCCCAUAGCUUUGCACUCUCCACAAUCCUCUCACUGGUUGCUACAUCCCCCGUUUCAAACGAGAGCACUGCACCGGGUCCUCGCGCCAUGGAGCGAUGUAGGUCGUAUUGUGGGUGGGAUUUGAGGCCAGGGUAUCUGACGCGGAAGCCGUGGUUUUCGAGGAAUUCGGCAAUGCGCUGCGCGUUGGAUUGUUGUUGUUCCAUGCGGACUUUUAGUGUCUUGACGCCACGCAGGAGCAGCCAGGAGUCGAAGGGGGACAGACCACAGCCAGAGCUGUUGAUGGUGAAGUAUAACUUUUCGCCUAGGGACAAGUCGUUGACGGCGACCACGCCGGCCAUCAAGUCGUGGUGGCCAGACAGGUAUUUGGUUCCGCUCUCGUAGACUAUAUCGGCACCUAGGUCGAGCGGGUUGAGCAGGAGCGGGGAUAGCAUGGUAUUGUCGACCGCGACCAACGCAUUGGGGUUCGCCUCAUGCGUCAAUGAUGCAAUUUGUGGGAUGUCUACUAUCUUUAUUAACGGGUUUGUGGGAGUCUCUAGCAGAACCAGUCUAGUCAUCGUUCCUAGGACUUCUGACACCUUCUCCGGCCGAGUAGUGUCGACGUGGUGAACAAUUAUGCCGCCGUGAGUGGCUAGAUAUUUAAGAAGGCGAUUUGUGCCGCCAUACAAAUCAUCACCAGUAACAACUUCAUCACCCGGUUUAAGAAGGCGUGUUAUCACAUCCAAGGCAGCCAUUCCAGAGGAUACCACGAGGGCUCGCUGCGCGGACAUAAUUUUCGCCAGAUGUCGCUCUAGGUGUGUUCGGGUGGGAUUGCCCGAUCGUGUGUAGUCGUACUCGCCGCCACCAUUUCCGGAGGUUUGUUUGAAAGUUGCACUCUGGUAGAUUGGCACACUGCUCGCAUUGAACUGGUCAUUACCCUCUGUAAAUACUAACUCCGUAGCUAGAGCAUACCGUCGACCGCCGCGAGGACUGGAUGGGGCGGGGGAGGGAGGUAGAUUGUGGCCUUCGAUAUCGACACCAGACAGCGUCUUUCUCGGGAGGAGCUUCGGCUUUUCCAACGAGUUGUCCCGCGCCGAAGAUGGAUUAUCAGAAGCGCCCAUUGUUGGGGGUGGUUUCCGGGAGGGGAUGGUGAGAGGCAAUGAAACUUCUAGUCUCUAUUCAAACACCUGUUCAGUUGCAACGGUCAGAUUUUAUGUCUCUAUUCAUAUGGGAGAUAGCCAACGGUAGUCAGUGUGGAGGAAGAAAAACAUCUAUUAUUCAAUGUCAGUGAUUGAGGGACAUCAUGGAGCGAGGUGAUAGUGGUUCCUGGGCGUAAAUUGCCUCCUCAAACAAAAUAAUACAAUCUCAAUGACAUCGUUCAUGUUGAUUAUGCCUGUCAGUGUGCUUUUCAGAAGUAAUACAAAAAAACCCUUUUGUUAGAACGCCCUCUCAUUUCUAUAUGAUAGCCAAUGAUAAUUCGAACAAGAUCCCAAAUCUUCCCAUAAUUGCCACCGUUAGGAAAGGAUAUCAUACUGUACACACUUCCCGAAGAAUGAAUAAGAGUGGGAUUUCAUAAUUAGAAAGAAAUGCUGAAAAAACGGAGUAUAUAUACGUGUAUGGAUGGUAUAAAAUAAGGGAAU
rnacentral:sRNA from 1 species